CUAAACUUUAGUAGCAAUGACAUUUUUUAAAAAAUGUCACUACACUCGGUAGAUGCAAAUUACUUUUUAUGGCAUUAGGUGAAAAGUGUCAUAAACAAAUAUUUAAUAGCAUUUUAAGAAAUGUCACUAAGCCAAAAUAUUUCCAAUCUUUUAAUGCCAUUUUUGACAAAAUCAAAAAAUGCUAAUAUAUUUUUAAAAUGCUCAAAAUGAAUAAAAAUAAAUAAAUUAAACUCAAUAUAACAUAUUUUUUUAACUGUACUUGCCACAUGUACAAAAUUGAUCAAUGAUUUUAUAUGAUUUCAAGAAAAAUAAAAUUUGAAAUUGCUCUCCUGUACAAUGAUAAAGUUUCAUGAAUUUUAGUCCAUGUAUUUUCAAUUAACUCAAUUUUCAGUCUGAGUUUACGGAUUUAUCUCAAUUUCUUUCAAUUGUUUAUAAUUGUUGGGUAAAUUACAUCAAUAACCCUUGCAUUUUUUUCUUCCAUAUAGUUUUAAUUGACUCACUUUUGACAGUUAAUUUUAGAUUUUACAUCAAUUUAGUCGAAUUCAUAACAUGUUUAGGGUCUUUAAUAGAAAAUUUUCAAUGGAUUGGUUAAAGUCAAGUCACUGAAUUGACCAGUAUUUUGUUUUACUCCCAAAACGAUGCCAGGUUGCAUUUGUCAUAAAAAAAUCUAUCACUUUGAUCAAUUUGAGACAAAAUUUAAAAUUCAAGGUUAAAAUCAAUUCACUUAAAAUUACAAAUACUAAAAUGACAUAAUAGCCAAAAUAGAGGGACUAAUAGUGUAAUUAACCCUAAUUGUUAGCAUUUUUUUAAUGAAAAAUAUGCAUACAAGUGAGUUAUGUCAUUCUUUUAGAGGUACAAUAAUAAAUUUGCUCAACUUGUUCAGUUAAUCUCAACAAAUUCAGUGAUUAUUUUUCAUUAAAAACACUAACGGUGUUAUUAAUUAAAAAUUACAGGUUAUAAUUGAUUUAACAAAAAAUAUAAGGGCAAAGUUAAAUUUUUUUAUUUUUUAUUAUUUACAAUAUGAACAAACUCAAUCAAGCAUCCUUAUUCAACCAAACUCUUCUCUCUUUUUUUUUUUUUUAAAAUAUAUUAUACAACCAAGGAAAUAAUGAACUGAAGGAAACAAACCAUAUCUGAUGAGGCAAAAUCCGUAGAGGCGAUCGAGAUAGAGACAGGGGAAAGUUUGAUUUUCUUGAAAUUGGUGAACCAAAUUUGAUUUUGUCGGGUCAAAAUCACGGGAGCCAAAAUAUGAAGGAAGUUUUUAUCAUUCUUUGUCUUUCAUUCAAUCCUUAUCUACCAUCUACACUACAAAUUUGUUGUGUUUUCAUCUUCUAUGAUCAGAGUUCAUUAGGGAAAUCCUCCCACCCUUCCGCAGGUCCAAGGCAGCGCCCCAUGAGGAGAUCACUAGGGUGUCUUGUUGUCCGUUCCGAGUAAGAGACUAUAACCUGGAAGCUUGUCUCGACCUCCCAAGGCAAGCUUCGAUUAAGUCCGGACUCGCACAGUGGGGGAGCAUUAAACCCACACCAAGUAGCUGAUUAGGCAUCCUUGAGGUCCAACCCCUAACCAACAGUGCUUCGCCCAGGAGAUUGGCCCAAGGGGGGAAUUGAACUUGUGACCUUGGGGCUUAAACCCCAAGGCCUUACCACAAUGCCACAACCCCUUGGGUUAAAUUUGCUACUUUUGAUUACUAAUAAAAAUUAAUUUUCUGUAAUCAAUUGUAGCGUGACUAACAAGUAACUUCCCCUAUAAUUAAGGUUGUAAACCAUGGAAACUAGCCAGUCAUGGAUGUUAGUCAAGUUUUAUGAUUGUUUUUAUUUAUUUAUUUAUUAUGUAUUCAUUUAUUCCA